ACUGUAUCCUCAUAUACAUCGCUGUUGUGCCUUAGGAAAGAAAAUCCCCCAGCAUAGCAUUGUGCGCAAAAGAAGCACAGCCACCUGCAGAGCAGGACAGACAGGAGGAAGAAUGAAGCCCAUUUAGAGUUCCAGGAAAGGUGUGCAGGAAAGGAAAAGAGCGCCAGACCAGUCCACAAGAGCAGCUCUGCAGCCAUUGUUCACAAGAACCUGGGGCCUCUAGGAGAGCAGAGUGGGGGAAGAGAAAAGGAAAAGGAGGAAAACAACACGUAGAAAAAAAGAGUAUUUCCCUGUCUUUUAUAGACAUCAUUUUUUCAAUGGCCUAAAUUUUCCUAAUUACUCCCUGCUCCAGAUCAUAUACACGACCUUUACAGAUUCUCCUGGUCCCUUAAGGAGCCAAAGGUCAGGCAUGUCCCUCCUCUUCAGUUAAGCAACACAUUGUAUCAAGUAUGGGAGUGCAUGGAUUUUUAGCAACACCUGUGAUUUCUCUCCCUUGAAAAGACUUUUUAUCUGUAGAAGGUAGCAGCAUAACAGAUAACAAUGAAAAGUUCCCAACUCACACCUUCAAAACAGUAGCCCUCCUUCUUCCCAUGUGCCCAGAUGACAUGAUACAUAAAAAUUCUAAUCCCUGUCAUCCAGCUUUUCAAAUAUGGCAACAGUGAACAUUCACUGACCUUUGCUCAUUUUGGGAGGCGGCAGAAGCACCAC
rnacentral:lncRNA from 1 species